rnacentral:rRNA from 1 species
UACGGGAGGCAGCAGUGGGGAAUAUUGCACAAUGGGCGCAAGCCUGAUGCAGCCAUGCCGCGUGUAUGAAAAAGGCCUUCGGGUUGUAAAGUACUUUCAGUCGUGAGGAAGGUGUUAAGGUUAAUAACCUUAGCAAUUGACGUUAGCGACAGAAGAAGCACCGGCUAACUCCGUGCCAGCAGCCGCGGUAAUACGGAGGGUGCGAGCGUUAAUCGGAAUUACUGGGCGUAAAGGGCACGCAGGCGGUUAAUUAAGUUGGAUGUGAAAUCCCCGGGCUUAACCUGGGAAUGGCAUUCAAGACUGGUUAGCUAGAGUCUUGUAGAGGGGGUAGAAUUCCAUGUGUAGCGGUGAAAUGCGUAGAGAUGUGGAGGAAUACCGGUGGCGAAGGCGGCCCCUGGACAAAGACUGACGCUCAUGUGCGAAAGCGUGGGGAGCAAACGAGGGAUUACGAUACC